UGUAGAGAAUACUGCCCUGUACUGGGGGACGAACAAGAGGGAAACGUUACUGCUAAUACCCCAUAUGAGCGUACCUGCGAUGGUAUUCUUGAAAGUUCCGGCGGUACAGGAUGAGUCUGCAUCUGAUUAGCUAGUUGGUGGUGUAAUGGACUACCAAGGCGACGAUCAGUAGCUGGUUUGAGAGGAUGAUCAGCCACAAUGGGACUGAGACACGGCCCAUACUCCUACGGAAGGCAGCAG
rnacentral:rRNA from 1 species